GGAAUUGAUCUGGGUCUUUCUCUUCCUCCUGUCAGUAACUGCAGGUGUCCACUCUGAGGUCCAGCUUCAGCAGUCUGGAGCUGAGCUGGUGAGGCCUGGGUCCUCAGUGAAGAUGUCCUGCAAGACUUCUGGAUAUACAUUCACAAGCUACGGUAUAAACUGGGUGAAGCAGAGGCCUGGACAGGGCCUGGAAUGGAUUGGAUAUAUUUAUAUUGGAAAUGGUUAUACUGAGUACAAUGAGAAGUUCAAGGGCAAGGCCACACUGACUUCAGACACAUCCUCCAGCACAGCCUACAUGCAGCUCAGCAGCCUGACAUCUGAGGACUCUGCAAUCUAUUUCUGUGCAAGA